rnacentral:lncRNA from 1 species
AGCAGAAGUUGGACAGAUGCACAGGACAGGCAGUGGCAGCACAAGGGGAGCUGUGAGUAAGCCGUGGAGAUGCGUCAGCAGAAGCCGUGAGAGAAAAGCUCGGCCAAGCAGAGGGGGAGGGAAUUGCCUGGGAAUAGCAGGAGGCAGAGAAUGAUGGAGGAGAAUUAAAAUGAAGAUCUACAAAUCCCUGCUGCUGAGAAGCACCGAGACACCAUGAGCGCUGGGACUGCCUGGGGUUCGUUUCUGCAUUCAUUGUUUUCCACCAUUUUGGGCACUAUUCUAAGCGUUAGACAAGAUCUCUCCUUCAUGAAACUUACGUUCUAGUCAGGGAAGUAAAUAUAAAUAGGUAAAAAAGUAAACCAGGCUCAUAGGUAUAGAGAACAGAUUGGUGGUUGCCAGAGGUAGGGGUGGGGAGUGGGCAAAAUGGGUGAAAGGAGUCAAAAGGUGCAAACUUCCAGUUAUCCAAAAUAAAUGUCAUGAGGAUGUCAUGUACUGCAUGGCAACUAGUUAAUAAUACUGUAUCACAUAUUUGAAAGUUGCUAAGAGAGUAAAUCUUAAAGUCCUCAUCUUGGGGCUGACUCAGUGGCAUAGUGGUUAAGUUCACACACUCUGCUUAGGUGGCUAGGGGUUCAUGGGUUUGGAUCCCAGGUGUGGACCUAUAUACCACUCAUCAAGCCAUGUUGUGGUGGCAUCCCACAUACAAAAUAGAGUAAGAUUGGCACAGAUGUUAAGCUCAAGGCCAAUAUACCUCAAGCAAAAAGAGGAAUAUUGGCAACAGAUGUUAGCUCAGGGCCAAACUUCCUCACCAUAAAAAAUUUCUCAUCUCAAGAAAAAAAAAUUCUAUAACUAUAUAUGAUGAUAGAUGUUAACUAGACUUAUAGUGAUGAUCAUUUCACAAUAUAUACAAAUAUUGAAUCAUUAUGUUGGACACCUAAAACUAAGAUAAUGUUGUAUGUAAAUUAUACCUCAAUAAAAAAAAUGGGUGUGGGGGCCAGCCCAGUGGCGUAGUGGUUAAGUUCACAUGCCCUGCUUUGGUGGCCCGGGCUUUGCGGGUUCAGAUCCCAGGUGCAGACCUACACACCACUCAUCAAGCCAUGAUGUGGUGGCAUCCCACAUACAAAAUAGAGGAAGACUGGCACAGAUGUUAGCUCAGGGACAAUCUUCCUCAAGCAAAAAGAGAAAGAUUGGCAACAGAUGUUAGCUCAGGGUCAAUCUUCCUCAUCCAAAAAAGCCCAUUUUUUUUUCAUUACAUAGGAACAGUUGGCAAUUUCUUACAAAACUAAACAGACUCUUACCAUAUGCUCCAGCAAUCACACUCCUUGGUACUUACUGAAAGGAGUUGAAAACUUGUGUCCACUCAAAGACCUGCACAUGGAUGUUUAUAGCAGCUUUAUUCAUAGCUAACAAAACUUGGAAGCAACCAAGACGUCCUUCAGUAGGUGAACAGAUAAGCUGUGGUACAUCCAGACAAUGCAAUAUCAUUCAGUGCUAAAAAUAAAUGAUCUGUCAAGCCAUGAAAAGACAUAGAGAAACCUUAAGUGCAUAUUACUAAGUGAAAGAAGCCAACGUGAAAAGGCUACAUACUCUAUGAUUCCAGCUAUAUGACACUCUGGAAACAGCACAACUAUGGAGACAGUAAAAAGAUCAGUGGUUGCCAGGGGUGGGGCAGAGGGAGGCAUGAAUAGGUGGAGUACACAGGAUUCUUGGGGCAGUGAAAACACUCUGUGUGAUACCAUAAUGAUGGAUAUCUGUCCUUAUACAUUUGUCCAAAUCCACAGAAUGUACGACACCAAGAGUGAACCCUAAUGUAAACUCUGGACUUUGCAUGGUAAUGACGUGUCAAUGUAGGUUCAUGGUUUGUAACCAAUGUACCACACUGGUGGGGGAUGGGAUGUUGAUACUGGGGGAGGCUGUGAAGGUAUGGGGGCAGGGGUAUAUGGGAACUCUCUGUACUUGCUACUCAACUUUGCCGGGAACCUAAAACUUCAAGUAUAUUAAAAAAAAAAAAAAUCCAUUAUAACAAAAAGCUGGAGGAUGGAAUACUCUAGAUUAAAAAAAACUAAAGAGGGCUUCCAUAAAUGAAUGAAUAGAGUAAUAAGUGCUGGAAAGAAAAGUAGAGCUGGCAAGAGGACUGUGUAUGGGAGCAGCUAUUUUUACUUAGGCAUCAAAGAAGGCGUCUCUGAGAAGGUGAUAGAGACCUGAAUGAAGAGAAGGGGGAAGCCAUGUGAAUAUUUGCAAGAUAAACAGUCCAGAUGGAGGGUGGAGGGACCUAUGGGCAAAUUGCUGAGCCCAUAAUGUGCUUGUUCUUCAAAGAACGGCAAAGAGGUCGAUGUGGCUGGAGAGGAGUGAGCGAAAGAGACAGUGAAAGGAAAUUAGGUCAGCGAGGUAGCUGGGCAAGAGCACCAUGCAGUGGGCCUCACAGGCCACGAGGACUUAGGGUGUUACUGUGCAUGUGAUGGGGAGCCAUUGGGGGAAUCCCGAGCAACCUUCCAAUUCCAGUGUCUUCUGGGAAGUCUAGCUGCUCUAUGAUUUCCAUUCUUCCCAUAAAUUCCUGUCCUCUUACCCAUAGAGCCCCAUUGUUUCCCAUAAAGUCCCUUUGGUCAGAUGAGCAGGAAUGAGUUUUCCUUCCUGCCAACAAAGUGAGCCAGUCCCCAAAGCCACCAUGAUUUGACCCUAAGAAAUCCCUCAGCUUCCCCUUCUUCCUCUUGCCCCUUUCUCCCAGUGCUCCACUCCAGCAGCCUCAUAUUUGCCAGGUGCUAGGUGCAGCCUGCCUUUGCUGCCUCUGGGUCUUUGCUCUAACUCUUCCCUCUCUCUAGAAAGACUUUCUCUGGAGAACUUCUUGUCACAGUCCACCUCUCCAAGGACAUUCGCAAAUCCCACUUCUUCUAGGAAACUUUCCAUGAUCACUUGACUUGAAAUGGACUCUUCUCUCCUUAACUCCUGUUUGGAUUAUUUUCAGUUGCAUAAGUAACUACCCAAAACUUAGUGCUUACAAAUUAAAACAAUAAUUUACUAUCUCUUGAAAUGCUGUGGGCUUACUAGGCAUUCUUCUGCAUCACAAGGUGUGGCUGGGUGCUGGCACAGCUGAAGUCAACCGGGGCCUUAACUGGACUGGACCGUCUAAGACGGCUCACUCCCAUGGCUGACAGUUGAUGCUCAGCUGGGGCUGUCAAUGGGGCACCUGUAGAUGACAGGUCACAGCAUGGCAGCUAGGUUCCUAGAGGGAGCAUCCUGAGAAAAUCAGGAGGAAGCCACAAGGCUUCUGAUGGUUUAGCCUUGGAAGGCACCCAAAGUCAUUUCAGCUGCAUUCUGUCGUCAUGGGCCAGCCCAGUUUUGAGGAGGUAAAAAGGACAAAUAGAUCCUGGCUCUUAAUGGAGGCAGUGUCAAGGAAUUUGCAGUUAUCUUCAACCCACCACAGCUCUCAUGGUGUUGUUUCCACAUACUGAUUAGAGCGUUUGUCACCUUUUGCCUAUAUAACAAUUAUUUAAGUGUCUUUUAUCUCACAUACUAGAUUUUAUGCCCCUGAGGAGAGACUACAUCUUAUUUAACUCAAUUCUUUCAAAGUAAUAAUAACCACAAUAAUAACAAACAUUUAUUAAGUGCCUACUAUGUGCUUGAUCUCAUCUAUUCAAACACAUGAUCUCCUCUAGUCUCUACUCUGACAGGGUAGACAUUAUCCCCAUUUUACUGAUUGGGAAACCGAGGCACAGAGAGAUUCAGCCUUGCCCAAAGCCAUAUACAGUCAUGAGCUGAAUAACGACAUUUCAGUCAACAACAGACUGUGUAUACAACAGUGGUCCCAUAAGAUUAGCACCGUAUAGCCUAGGUGUGUAGUAGGCUUUACCAUCUAGGUUUGUGUAAGUACUGUAGGGGAGGAAGAAAUUCUCCUCUACCCUCUAGGUUCUUGUGGCUGGUUUAAGAAUGAAAUUGACCUGAGACAGUUAGAGGGAGAAAAGCAAACAAAAGUUUAAUAGCAUGUAUAUAGGGGAGAAGUCCAGGAAAACCAAGUAACUUACCAAAAUGGCUGAAGCCCUCACCUUAAGUACCAUCCUCAGCUAAUGAGAAAAGAUGUUGGGGUGGGGAGAGUCAAGAACUUCAAAGGGAAGGAAGGCAAUUCACAGGUAGGUGAAAAGGAGCAAAUGUUUGGAAAACAAGUGUGUAUUUGGCCACACAGAAACAGAAGAACACAGAGGGGAGCCCAACAAACUGUCUACCGUCUAGUUCAUGUUACACUAAGGUGAUAGCUCACUUCCUGAGACAGGCUUUUUUUUUAAAUCUGAUUUCUUUUAGGCAGUUAAGCGGGAGGUAACAAGAAAAACUUUCUGAGUCCUUUGUUUCUUAAAAAUAAUCAGCCUAAAAUAGUCCUCAUGUUAAAGAGACACAUUUGGGGUGGCAAAUUUUGUUCCCCUUCAGUACACUCUCUGAUGUUCACACGACAAAAUUGCCUAACAAUGUAUUUCUCAGGACGUGUCCCCGUCAUUAAGUGAUGCAUGGCUGUAAUUGGUAGGUGGCAGAGCCAGAAUUUUGAACCCAUUGAAGAGUCUGUCUUCUCAUUAUCUUUUCCAUUGCCAUCUCACAAUCUUGGCACCAAAGAAAUGUGCUCAAGUCAACCUGUGUUGGUGUUACUGAAGUGUCGCUGGGCACAAGAACAAAAGGGAAAGAAGAAGAAAGAAUGCAGAACGGAAAGUGAGGGGUGGCACAGAGUUGUCAUCAAGUGAGCCAGGUGGCUCCAGUUGACACAUGGUCCAGAGGUCCAGUGCUGAGCAUCCUCUGUAGCCUGCUGGAUAGAGGGCAGAGUGUUUGGGAGCUCAGCAAGGAAUGGGAGUAUUUAUUGGGUCUGAGUGCCUGAUUCGAAACUCUUCUCCAAAAUUCCUAUUUUCUGUCUGCCAAAAUAAGUGAUGGACUUUACAGUUCAUAUUCUAGCUCAUCUGCCCAGGUCAGGGACCUACCACUCUGAAUUUCUCGUCUGCUUCUUCCCAGCUAGAAGUAAGUCUCGAUUUACUUCCCAUCAGGAACAAGCACCAUCUCCCUGCUCAGUGAGAUCCUAGUUUUAGAAGAUUCUGCCUUUAUCCUGGGAAUAUCUAUGUAUGUGCACAAAGCCCCUCUCUGUGGAGGAGACACUUAAACCUAAAAUAAGUGGGAACUUCAUAUCCAGGGAGAUGGCAAAUAAAAUGUCAAUAUUUUUUACAUUAAACAACCUCUUAUAUAUCUGUUCUUCUGUGAACGUAAUGGCACCGAUGGGCCAAAAGUCCAAAAAAACUGCUUCAGUUCCUGUGUUAGUCCGUUCAGGCUGCGGUAACAAAAGCCCACAGCCUGGGUGGGGGGUGGUAGUUUAUAAACAACAGACAUUUAUUUCUCACAGUUCUGGAGUCUGGGAAGUCCAAGAUCAUGGUGUCAGCAUGGUUGGACAUGGGCCCUCUUUCUGGUUCACCGCCUGCACCCUCUCGCUGUGUCCUCACAUCGUGGAAGGGGCAAAGGAUCAUUCUGAAGCCUCUUUUUUUCAAGGCACUAAUCCCUUGGUGAGGGCUGCACCCUCAUGACUUAAGCACAUCCCAAAGGUCCCAUCUCCUAAUACCAUCACCACUGAGGGUUAGGAUUUCAACAUUUGAGUCUGCGGGGGACACAAACAUUCAAACCGUACAGUUCCUCAAUGUGAAUGUCAACAAUUGGUGCAAAAAGUGGAGGCACAGAUUGUUUUAGCCUCUUUCCCCUGUGGCCCCCACACUCAUAGGGCUGAUCAUCCCCUGCUCACGUGUGCACCAUUCCCAAAGGACAUCACCGUGAAAUGGUGGCUAUGUUCUUGGACAUGACAGAGCAAGUGUCUUCAGUACUUCAAGGACACAAUUAUACAGCUCUAUGCACCUUGGGAAUUACAAAGACAUUCACUGAUCAGCCUGGUCAGCUGACAUUCUUAAUUGUUUACAGUCAAUUCUCCUUGCUCCAGGUCCACCCAUGAGUCCCUAGAAGGAUAAAAGGGUAGAUCAGCUUAUAAAAACACUGCCUUAAGAACCUAAAAAGUCUGAAAUGACAAAACUCUGCCAAACAAUGGAGAAAUCCAUUGAAAAUACCAACUACUUGUGUAGUAAGGUCAAGCAAGCAUGUCACUAGGCCUUACUGUAUCAGAGGCAAAAUUAUCUAACAUGGAUGAUUGGUCCUACUGAAUAUUUUGGUUCCUUCAACUCCCUACCACCCACCCCCGUAAUCAUUCUCCACACAGCAGCCAGGGCUAGCUUUUAGAAAUUGAAAUCAGAUUGUAUGAGCCCUUGCUAAAACACCCCAAAGUCUUCCUAAUCACUUAGAAUAAUCUCCAAACAUCUGAGCAGAUCCUUAGAAGGUUCUAGAUCAUUUGUCCCUGCCUAUCUCUUCUACCUCAUCUCCCUCCAUUGUCCCAUAUUAACAGGUCCUGCCAUACAAGUUUCCUGUUUGUUCAAGAACACACAUCAAGUCUGAUCUGUCCUCUGGACCUUUGCACCUGCAGUGCCCUCUGCCUGAAAUGCCCAGCUCUUGGCCUGGCUUUCUUUCUUCUUUCAAGUAUCAGUUCAAGUACCACUUCCUUGACCACACAGUCUAAAGCAGUCCUCACCCCACUUCGCUCUCCAUUGGUGCUCUUAUUUUCUUUUCUAUAGCACCUUCAACCUAGAUACUUACACGUUUAUCACAGCCCCUCACUUGAGAGUGUAUGUACCAUGACGCAGGAACUUGAUGGACCUCCCCUGUGUCUCCAGCACCUUCCAGAAUACUUGGGACAAGUAGGUACUCAAUAUUUGUUGAAUGACUGAGCAUAUUAGUUUCUUAUAUCCUCCAGGCAUUUUAGAGACACUGUCGCCUGGGGAAGACACUUGGAAAUUUAACCUCUCUUGAGAAGGCAGGGAAAGCCUCGCUUCUCAUUAAUUAUUUAAAUACCUACAAAGCCUGGGAUUUCAGGAGGAUUAAGAAUCUUCCUCAUUCCACUUGUCACCGCUACAUGCUCUCAGGCCUAAUCAUAGCACCUGUGACUCUUACACCGACGGCUGGUGUCUGGUCUCCUGAGAGCCUUAGUGUAGCAAGAAAGCAUCUACAGACUGUUAACACUGGCAUCUUUUGAGAUUUUAAUUAUUGGAGUAUUUUUUUUCUAUCUCAUUCAUGGUCAGGAUUUUGAUUAACUUGUAAGUGGGAGCUUUGGCAAUUAGAGGAGUUUGGAGGAGGGUGUUUAGGGCUGGUAAGAAAUGCCAGGGCCGCCCUUAGCUGCUAGUGCAGGAAUUGGCGGUAUGCCAGCUGCCUCCCCCAUCUUUGCAUCCAUCUACACCCCAUGUGGGAGGAUGGGCACGCAGCAGGAUUGUUGGCUGCAAUGGGUCGUCGGACUUGCUGGGAGCUCUCUGCUUCCCAGAUAUUUCUUUCUGUCUACGGCAUCUUUGUGGAUGCGGGAGUCUCCAAGUUUUCAGCAGGUUAGGCCAGCAGGCAGCAGCUCACUCUGGUGUUAUGUAGUUGGAGCACCUUCUUCUCAGCACUUGGGCUUCCAUCCAGGCUGCCUCAGCGCUUCUGAACGACCAAGGUCUGGAAAUAGUUCAUCCACGGAGCUGGCUUGGCAGAGGCAGGCUGCUCAGCUGAGCAGUGCGGCGGCUCUGACUGCUCUCUCCUCAGGGGUCCCAGGUCCACCCAUCGCUUCUCACCUCCUCCUAUUCUGGGCUUUCAGAGCCCAGUUCUGCAUUUAGAUGUAGCUUUGCAGGGAGAUAGGUCUGGGUUUGAACCUUUACCAACCUGUUUAACCCUCUGAGCCUCAAUUUCUUUAUCCGUAAGAUGGGGACGAGAACCACAACCUACCUCACAAGUUUUUGAGAGGAUUGAAUGAGACACUGGGUGCAAAGUGUCUAGAACAGUAAAUGUCAGCUGUUAUCAUUUGGGUUCAAGUUUAUGUGUGACACCUUAAGCCAGUUCACCCUCUGGGUCUCAGCUUUCUCACCUAUAAAUUGAGGAUAAUGCCUCUUGUAGUUGUGUGAUAAUGAAACGAGGGUGCAAGAUAAAUUGUCAAGCAUUUUCCAAAUGCGGCCUGAUUUCAUCAGUGAGUCUUUGACUUGCAUCUACCUCUGGCCAUGAAGUUAAGUUGAAUUUCUCACAAAACCCUAAACAUGGACAUGUUGUCUGCCUUACUCGUGAAAAGAAUGUAGAAAUAUAGAAUGGGGCGGGCUAUAUGCAAACACUGUUGGGAAGUUAAAAAAAAAAAGGCAAAUAGCAUUAAAAUGAUUAUUGCAUGAGUGACCAGACUUUCGUCCCUCAGGGGAAAAUAUUUCCCAAUUUGCUUAGAGUAGCAAAAAAGAGGGAAAAAAAAGAUUUGAUGGUUAUUUCAAAUCUGUCUCCCCCAGGGAAAUUAAAUCUGAGUUAUGAGGUAUUUUUCAUGAAGCCAGAGUCUAGCAUAAAACUAACAAUUAAAAAAACCACUGUGAGAUGACCAUAAGUGGAUUCGGACGGAAUUGUCCUUAGCACAGGGAUGCGGGAGCACACCGUCAUCCCUGCCACAGAACUUCCUCCGACCCCCGCCCUACCCCACAUCCUUGGCCUGGUGGGGUCUGGGUACAUCCUUUAGGAGUUAUGUCACCUGCCAUGUUCCCAUCGCCCUGCAGGCAGGGACCUCCCAGUGUUCACAGCUGGUAAACUGACAGGCCUCCUCAGUCUCUGUCACUCCCACCGGCCCUCCUCAUCCCCAGCAGGAAUUGGUGCUGCUGUGAGGACCGCAAAGGCAGCGGGGCAUUUUUAUUCUGAAGUAACAAGUUAUUACAUGUAAACCAUGGUUUCUGUUUUUAUUUUUUCAAAAAUGACACUGAGUACUUUUCCCAGAAACCUGAUUGUUUUUAGCCUCAUCUUUGGUCUUCUCUCCUAUGGGCAGUUUCAAAGGUCAGGGGCGUUUCUCAUUUGAAUCUCCCCAGCACCCCUUUCUGAAGCAGAGCCGUCUUCUCUGUAGGGAACCCAUGCAAGGGGAGCUCACUUUGCCCAUUCGCAGGACCCAGAACUGGCCAAUCCUUGUAUCCUACACUCUUGGCCAUUGUGGCUGGUUCCCAUAGGCACAUGAGGCAAAUCAAGCAAAUCAGGAGCUUCCUUGGAUCUUUCCUGAUAUUGCAAUUGGCAAAGGCCGUGUCUUUCCCCUGGGGUUGUCAGGCUGGGAGGAUUUCAGUCUGAGGCUGCUGGUAGCCAUGAGGCCAGGGCCUGCCUGAGAGACAAGAGAUCUCUGAUAGCAUUGUUGGCACUCUGGAUCAAGCCCUGCCUGAAGCCACUACAGUAGGGCACUAUGUGAACUAAUAAAUACCCUCCAUGUCGCUUUUUUUGAAGGGGGUUUCUGUCACUGUCAACUGCAAACAUCUUGACUGAUACAGUUAGAUUAGCCUCUGUGUUAGGUUUUUUGAAAAUUCUUGAAGAAUGGCUAAGAUGGAAUGAAUGCGGUGUAAAGAAACGUGAAAUAGAGGGGAGCAUACAGGUUAAAUUUGGAAUUUCCUUGAAAAAUAAUGCCUCCCAUUUACUGAACACCUGCGAGUGCCACACAUUUUAUAUACCCCAUCUUCUUGGCUUCUCACUGCCAUCCUGCAGGUUGUAUUAUAACCAUUUUAGAGAGCAGCAAACUGAGGCUUGGAGGAACUAAGAGACUUGCCAAAGACCACUCAGGGAGGAAGUAGUGGAGCCAGGAUUUUGCACUCGAGUUUUUGGUGAAACAACUUCCAUCCUAUAGAUCUAAGACUAUUGCUUACUCAUUCAUUCAGCACUUAUUGGACAUUAGGUAUUUGCCAGGCAGGAUGUUAGGCACCGGGGAUAUGAAAUGAAUAUGAUAGCGCACAUCCUUCAGCUGCUCAGAGUCCAGUGGGGGAGACCCCCAUUAGGGUCAUUAUUAUGGGUUGAAUGGUAUCCCCCAAAAAGAUAUCUUGAACUCCUAACCCCUGGUAUGCGUGAAUGUGAGAUUCUUUGGGAAUAGGGUCUAUGCCCAUGUGAUCAAGAUAAGGCGAGGCCAUUAGGGCAGGCCCUAGUCCAGUAUGACUGGGUCCUUCUAAGAGGGAAAUUUCGACCCCCGGACCCACGGGAAAAGGCCACGUGAAGCUGGAGGCAGAGAUUGGAGUGAUGCUUCUCCAAGCCAAGGAACACCAAGGAUUGUCCUCUGUCACCAGAUGCUGGGGGAGAGGCAUGGAACAGAUUCUCCCUACGAGCUCUCAGAAGGAACCAGCCCGGCCAACACCCUGAUGAAGGACUUGCAGCCUCCAGAACUGCGAGACAAGACAUUUCGGUUGUUUUGAGUGACUCAGUUUACGACAGCCCUAGAAAACAAAUACAGUCAUCCAGGGUUCCACCUCCAGGAACCUGUGUUGAUUUGAAUCUCGUCUAAGAUUGCUCUGCCUGUGGCCCCCCCAGCUGACAACCUGGGACAAGCCUCUGCAGCCUGUAGUCCCACCCUCCCAUCCAUCACACCUCGCAGGUGGGCUCCUCCCAGCCACAGCUCCCUGUCCUCUUUGCCACAGAUGAGUGAAGCCACUGGGUCCCGGAUUGCCCAGCACCAGGACGCACCCUGUGUGACAAUGCUCCCCUCCCCCGACCUCUGAACACACUCUGGCCCCAAUAGCCGCCCGGGGCCCACAGUUUGCUUUGGACAGGCAAGUACCUGGAGGCAGCGGACAGCUAAUACCAGGGCGUUGCCCUUCCUUUAUAUUCCAAAGCUGUUCUGUUUCCAGGAUACGAGUCUCAUGAUUCCUCCUUUGUGAUUAAUGUUGAAGCCAUUUCUUGAUGUACUGUCUUAAUAACACGGUGAAGGCAAACAGCCUUUGGUUGGCGAAUGUGACAGCACUUUUAUCUGACCAGCCUCACCCUGGCCUAUUCCUGCAAACCAGGUAGGCAGCAUGUGGAUGUGGAAGACGUGAAACGAGGGGAAAUAAAGUCUGAAUUAAUCGGCAAUUUGCCUAGGCUGGUGAUUAGCUAUAAUUUGGACCUGCUGCCUAGCGUUUUAAGCGCUGGCCCAACUUCCUUUAGUUUUUGACUGUCUUGAAAUGCCAACAAAACUCUCCUAAUGAGAAGCAUUUACCUGCUGAUGUGUUUGGAGGGCAAAACGCCAGCUCAUUAAACGUGGUGAAGCCUCCAGUAGCUAAAGCUUUCCUGGUGGGUGAACUUAAACUUUCCAUACUCCUAAAGAAGGGGGCGACGUCAGUUAUAAUUAUUCCCAAGUGGGUGUCCUCCUGUCAACACCUCAAGGCCAAGGCCCUGAUCUUGCUUUUUUAAUUUUUGUACCUUUAAGAACAUCUAACAGAGUGGGUACUUCAGGCCUGCUGGUUGGCUUAAGUACAGGGAUUUAAUUCGGGCCACUGUGACCCUAGUAUGUUUUUAUCACACAUGGUGGUUAAGAAUUUAGGCUUUGGAGCUUAAGAGGCAGGCUGCCUGGAUUAGAAUGCAAGCUGGCUGUGUGACUUCGGGAAGGUGAGUUAACCUCUCUGAGCUUCAGUCUCUUAUCUGCAAAAUGAGUUGUUAGAAUGAGUCAAUGAGAUAACGUACCUGAAGUGCUCAGCAAUCAACAAAAAGAGCCAUUAUUAUUAACUGGUAAUUGGAAGAUCCGGACUUAGCCAGGUUUGUCUGACUCCAGAACCCAGGCUGUUGCCCAUUUUGGGGCUCAGCAUGACUUCCACUGGAUUUCUCUCCACCAUAGGGUGAGCUGGCAUAACCAGACGCAGGACCAGCAGCCACGUGCUGGAAGAGCCAUGCUGGACAUGCUAAAUCCUUUCUCAGAUGCCUGGACAGAGCUCCCUAAGCCCCCAAAAUCACAGCCAAGAAGCCCCAUACUCCCACCCAAGUUGGUCAUGCAGAAAUCUCGGGAGCGUCUCUGUCUCUUUGUGGGAAGAGAGAAGAUUUCCAGACUCCUUUCGGGUCUCUCUCUCUCCCAGGGCUUGUCAAAGUCCCCUGUUGUGAGGACAGGAGCUCAAGGAGAGAAGACACACUUUAGGGUCCUACUCAGCUCCCCUCCCCCAGAGGUACAGGCGACUGUGGCCUCUCAGAUCUGGAAGCAGUCUUCCCAGCUCUCCAUCCGUACUAGUUUCUUAUGGCUGCCAUAACAAAGUACCAAAAACUGAGUGGCUUAAAACAGAAAUUUAUUGUCUCACAGUUCUGGAGGCUAGAAGUCCAAGAUGAGGGUGUCGGCAGGGCCGUGCUCUCUGACAGCUCUAGGGGAAAACCCUUGCUGGCCUCUUCCAGCUUCUGCUGUUUGGAGUGGUCCUAGGUCUUCCUUGGCUCCUUAGAUGCAUCACUGCGGUCACAUGGCCAUCUUCUCCCUGUGAGUCUUCACACAGUGUUUCCUCUGUGCAUGUCUGUGCAUGUGUCCAAAUUUCUCCUUUUUAUAAGGACACCGGUUAUCUUGGAUCAGGGUCCACCCUAAUGACCUCAUUUUACCUUGAUUUUCUCUGUUAAGACCCUAUUUCCAAAUAAGGUCACAUUCUGAGUUACUGGGGGUUAGAACUUUAGCAUUUCUUUCUUUGGGAGGCGGAAUUCAACUCACCACACCAUCUGUGAUGGUUAAUUUUAUGUGUCAACUUGGUUAGGCUAUCACACCCAGCUAUUUGGUCAAACAUUAUUCCAGAUAUUUCUGUGAAGGUAUUUUUUAGACAAGAUGGACAUUUAAAUCAGUCGAUUUUGAGUAAAGCAGAUUACCCUCCAUCCGAUCAGUGAAAGGCCUUAACAGAAAAAGAUUCACGUCCCUCGAAGAAGAGAGUAUCCUGCCUGCAGGCGACCUUGGUACUCAAAGUGAAAUCCUUCCCUGGAUGUCUAGCCUCCCGGCCUACCCUGCAGAUUUUGGACUGGCCAAGCCUCCACAAUCAACUGAGCCAAUCCUUAAAACAAAUUCUCUCUCUAUAGAUAGAUAGAUCGAUCGCUUGAUAGAUAGAUAGAUCAAUCUAUCUAUGGCUAGGGAUCUAUAUCUGUAUCUAUAUCUCAUAUAGAUAGAGUUGGUUCUGUUUCUCCAUUGAUUCUGUUUCUCUGAAGAACCCUGACUGAUACACCAUCCAAGGGUCCCUUGGCGAUGGUGCCACGAUCGUAGCAAGGCUGGCAAUGCCUCACCCAGACAGAGGAGAAUGCCUGGGGCUGCCUUUCAACUCACCUCACUGUAAACAGUCAGUCAACCAGCAGACACGCAUUUCUGAGCCUUCGAUUUUUAUUAAUCCCUCGGCAAAGGAAGUUUGGACAGUUCAGUCUCAGUGUGAAUUGCAUUCAGAGACCAUGGAGAAGGGACAAGAAGAGAUUCCCUAGCUUCACAAGCUGGUGUGGUUCUGGAGCUGCUGUUCUGUACAAGGAGGACAGAAACACUCAUUUAAAAUAAUGCAUAAAAUGUUAAAGUCUGUCACAUUGUUCAUUGUCUAGUUACCUUUUGCUGUCUAACAAACUGCUUCAAAAUUUACUGGCUGGAAACUAUAACUAUUUAUUUAUUUGUGACUCUGAGGGUCAGCAGUUCAUGCUGGGCUCAACAGGGUGGUUCUCCUGCUUGAUGGCUUCUGGAGUCAUUUAUGCAGCUUCUGUCACCUGGUAGAACUGGGUGUCUUACUUAGUUGGAGCUGCUGUAACAAAAAUACCAUAGUCUUUGUGGCUUACACAAAAGAAAUUUACUCCUCCCAGUUCUGAAAGCUGCGAAGUCGAAGGUGAAGGUGCCAGCUGAUUCCCUGAGGGCUCUUCCUGGUUUGUGGAGGGACACCUUCUUGCUGUGUUAUCUCAUAACAAGGACAAAGAUCAUCUCUCUCCCGCCUCCCCUUAAAAAGGCAUCAAUCCCGUUCAGGAGGGCUCCUCUCUCAUGACCUAAUUACCUCCCAAAGGUCCCAACUCCAAAUACCAUUACACGGGCCAUUAUGGCUUCCACAUGUGAAUUUGGGGGAAAAGCGAGCAUUCUGUCCGUAGCACUGGGACGAGAUGGUCCAAGAUGGCUUCACACACAUCUGGCCAUUGGUACUGGCUGUUGCCUGGGCUUCUCUCUCCAUUCGAGUUCUCAUCUUCAAGAUAGCUAGCCUGGGCCUCUUUACCUGGUGGUCCUGUGUUCUAAGAAGGUGAGAGUAGCAGCUGCUAGGCCCCUUAAGACCUAGACUCAGAAGUCACCAAAACAUCACUUCCAUUGUAUUCCUUCAGCCAAAGCAAGUUACAAAGUCUUCUUCUGUUCAAGGUGAGGAAGAAUGGACUCCACCACUUGACAGGAGGUGGUGCAACGAUGUUCACGCACUGAUGUGAGGAUUUAUUACAGCCAACUUUGCAAACAAUCUACCACGUUUACUGAGCAAAUUAAAUCAGUGAAUGUAAAGGGCAAGUUAUGUCAGGAUACAUCAACAGAGGUGACAGCACGACACUGAUCAGACCCAGAGAUCAGAGGGGCAUUUCAGACGUGUGAGGACAUUGCUGUUUAUUACGCCAUUUGAUUGAGAACCCGGCAGGGAAGGUCUUUGGGAUCCGCCUGAUUCAAAGUCUAGUCUAUAAAUUUUUUCCUGUGAAAUUAGAUAUUUGCCUCAUCUCUGUUACAGCACAGCCAGAGGCAUCUGGCUGGGCCUGCUAACUUAUGUUCUUAGAUUUUCCUUGGCAGAAAUUAAUUUCUUUUUCUUAAGAAGUUUUUUUUCUCACUCCAAGGCUGAGUCUUUGCGUUAAUACCGGGGAUCCACAAUUCAUAAAUUUGUACCUCUUGGUUCAUUGUUUCAAAAUGAGACUUUUAAUAGAUUCCAAAGACUUAAUAAGAGUGCCGCCUAGUCACAUAAUGAAGCUACUGUGCACGUGGCUGACAGGUAGUAAUUUAUUAUUAUCCAUGUCUCUGAUAAGAGCUGUGCCAUGCACAGUGGGUGCCUAAUAAAUAUUAGCUAUUACAACAUAAGCGAUGGAAGAAAGUUUGUCCCUUUGUGUCUCAGCCAACCGUUCAUAACACAUUCUUCUAUUACCAUUGUAUCUAUUUUCUGUUAAUUUUAUCAAUUAUAUGUAGAGGGGAACUAUAGCCAUGUGUCUUUAUUAUUGUGAGUUUAAAUGUCCUAAUUUAUCCUGCCACUGUGUUUUGCUUAGCAGAGCAAGUCACAAUAUUUUUCUGUCCCUGCAGUGAAAGACUGCAGUAAAUUGAUCUUGCUAACAACAGAUAAUUAUUAGCUUCCUCAAGAAUUUUACUGUAUAUGCAUUGCUAAGCAUUCCAGGAGGAUUAAUAUUUCUAAGAAUUUUGGACAAGAUGAGGUAUCGGCCAAAAGAGAGGGCUGUUUUAAUGUUGGCCCUUGCUCCUGUUGCAUAUCCACCACCGAUCAUUUGUUAAUGCUGCUUGUGUUUCAAUCUGUGGUCACUCCAAGAAUGAAUGCUCCUCUGCUGACUAAUACACCCAGUUCCAAAGGGAGAAGCAGGCAACUCAGAACACUGGACGAUGCCGGCAGUCACCAGGUAUGCAUCCAAGAGCGACAUCUUCACAGGGUGAUGCUUUUCUGAAAAGUCGGCAGUGAAACGGCAAAUUUUAAAGCACGGUUCAUUGAUGUUCAAGGGUUUCUUCUUCAGAUGAGCAGAGCUAUUCUGGCACUUGGAAUUGCACAGUUUUUUUAAAUUUUUUUCUUCCUUAUUUGUUUGUUAUGUUGUCAUUGGGAGCAGGCAGAGGAAAGGCAAGGGGUUUUAAGAUUCAGCAGAGGACUGCUGAGAGUCAGAGCUCGGUGGGGCUGGAAAGUCUUUGCCAAGCUAAGGGUCCAAAAGAAAUGGAAACCUUCUGAAACAUCCGGUCCAUUCAUACAUUGAUUAUAAAUAGAUGCCUAACCAGACUGCACUGACAUAUGUAUUAAAACCAUUUAAUUGGGGGCCGGCCCUGUGGCUGAGUGGUUAAGUUCACGUGCUCUGCUUCAGCAGUCGCAGGUUUCGCCGGUUGGGAUCCUGGGCGUGGACAUGGCACUGCUCACCAGGCCACGUUGAGGCGGUGUCCCACAUAGCACAACCAGAGGCACUCACAACUAGAAUGUACAACUAUGUACUAGGGGGCUUUGGGGAGAAGAAGAAGAAGAAAAAAAGAAGAUUGGCAACAGAUGUUAGCUCAGGUGCCAAUCUUUAAAAAAAAAACCCAGUUAAUUCUUUUAAUACAUUUCUAGUGAAUUUUCUAUUUAGGAAAACUUUGGGUAAACCACAAGUAGGCAAAUGUUGAUUUAUUCCCUUAGGGUUGGAAUGAGGGUUGGGUCUGGGUGGGCCUCUCUGGAGGAAGUGAGGGCUGGGUGAGGCGGUAGGCCUGAUGGGAGGUGAGGCAGGAGGGGAGGCAGCCCCAGGUCUGUGGGAUUCAGCCCCAUGCUAUGUAGUUUGGCCAACGGAGGGCACAGAAGGCAUUAAGAAAGGCAGAGACAGGGUCAGGUAGGUUGCAGCGGGAAGGGUAACUUAGGCAUCUUAGGUUGGGUUGCAGAGAAGCUGAGCCUGAGACAGGCUUCUUGGGCAAGGAGUUUCUUGAGGGAACGCCCUCAGGUGAAACAUGGAAGGGUUUGAGGGAGACUUGAACAUGACAGGCUAAGAUGUGGUCUAGCCUCAGGCUGAUCCCAUGGGGAGCUCUGGAGCGUGAGGGCCAGCCUUGUGCCUCAUUAUCAGGCAGCCGUGGCUGUGGGCUGUCCCCAGAGGGAAGGCAUUUUCUCCUGGUGAAAAAGCUUAGUGUUUUUCUCCCAGGGCAAGUCCCAGGAGAAGGGAGCAGCUGUGAGCUGUUAGCAGCCCCCAGUCAAGGGGAUGUGGGUGAGGCACCAAGCACAUCUACUUCCAGAGGGAAGCAAGAGCAGUGGAGCAGGCUCUCAGCAUCCUCCGAGAGGGGGGAGACUGCGGCAUGCCAUGGCCAUAAAGGAAAGGGCAAAGCAGUUCUUGUAAUGGAAGAAGCAUUAGGCUUUCUAGAGAGAGCCGCUAAGUAAGGGAUGAGAACAACAUGACAUUACCCGCGGUUCGGCUGAGGGCAAAAUCUAAGAGCUGUAUCCAUCAACCACGAAGGAAAGACGCCCACAGUUCAGAAUUACCCAGAGGUAAAGGGAGUGGGAUUUGGGUAACAUUGAGGUAUGUGUCAAGCAAGGCAGAGAAGGGGCUAUGCCAACAUUCUAAAAAUAAAUGAUUCUCUCCUGUUUCCAUCCGAGGUGCUCAAGGUAAUUUGCAAACAUUUGCAGGCAAGUUUUUUCCGGGCUGAACUGCAGGCAAAGCUCCCACUGACUUCACAGGGAGCUCCCAGGGGACACGCAGCAAGGCACAAAGGUGCUCACUGAUGAUCAGGCCUGGACAGGAGGAAAUGUCUCUAGAACACUCUUUAGAUCCCUCUGGAUCAUGGUGGAGGAAGGAUGGAUAAAUGAAUGAGCAGGUGUGUAUUGACCUUCACCAUGUGCAAGGUGCUGUGCCACAGCUGGGAAAGGUACAAAGAAUUCUGGAACGCUUUCCUGACCCUCAGAGUCUGAAAUCUCGCAGAAGAGGCCCAUCUAUGCCCAAGGUUAGCAGCACAGCUUUGGAGCCAGAUGGCCUGGGUUUGAAUCUUGGCUCUGCCACACUGACUCUUGGACCUUAGGCAAGUUAUGCAACCUCUCUGUGCCUCAGUUUUCUCAUCUGGGGUUAACAAUAGUAUGUACCUCAUACGGUCGUUGUGAGGAAUAAACAUAUUAAUGAAAGAGCUUAAAACUUGGUCAUUACUCUUAUAAAUGAGAGCAAAGCAGCAAACAUUUAUAAACUAUUCACAGCUGAGUGCUGUACAUGCUUCAUCUCAUCUGAUCCACAAACGACAUGUGAGGUGGGGACCGCCAUUAUCCCCAUUUUACCGACAAGGAAAUGGAGGCUCAGAGAAGUUAAGUAAGUAACUUGUAUAAAACCACAAAGUUAGGAAGUGGUAGAGGUGGGAUUUGUACCCAGAGCUAAGGCACUUAGCCAUGAUUCUAGAAUGUGUCUCCUAUAAGAAAAUCAAUGAGGGCCAAAUGCUUUAGGUUCUCAGAGAACCGAGAGCUCUCUGGGAACUGGGGCGAUCAUGGUAGGUUUCUGCUGAGUCUUCCUUUUUGAUGUAGGAGGAUCAUUUAUAUAUUCAGCCAUAUUUAUUGAGCAUGUAAUAUGAUCGGGCACAGAGCUGGAGACCUUGUGAGUGAUGCAUGGUUUCUACUCAGUUUAAAAGGGAAGACAUCAACGAUCGAAGGCUGCAGCAGCAGGGAGCGGGUCAUGCUGAGCAGGGCCUGGAGGCAGGAGUGGGCGAAUCUUUCAGGGAUGGGAAGAUAUGGACGAAGGGAGCAGGGCAAGGGAGCAUCCCUAAGGAGGUGAAGGCUAUGGCACAACAUGAGCAAAGGCUCAGAGGGAUGAAACAGCUCAAUGAAACCCUAAGUAUUUACAUAGUUGAAGCCACGCGUGACAGUGGGUAGGAUGGGAAGAAAUAAUUAUACUAACUGACACCCUUUGAAUGCACAUGAUGUCUUCUGCACUCUCUCUUUUAUUCUCUCCCUGGAGUGGGCAAACUAUGGCUUGUGGGCCAAUUCCAGGCCACCACCUGUUUUUGUAUGGCCCACAAGCCAAGAAUGAUUUCUACAGAUGAACAUUUGUAACUGAUUUUGAUGAUGAUUUUGAACCCUAAUUAAGCAAAAUGUUAUCCUUCCCCCGAAAAGAGCACUCCAUUGUUACUAGCAGACCCGUGUUACAAAAAAAUUGUCCUUGAUUAUUAUUAUAUUUUGAAAUUUGUCAAUAAAAUACGUUGUGGAAAUUAAUUCUCUCUCUAGUUAUGUAAGUACCUACAUAAUAGUCUUAAUUUUGUAUCUUGACCUACAAAACUUGAAAUAUUUACAACCUGGCCCUUUAUAGGAAAAGCCUGCCAAAGACUGUUCCUUCCAAAUGCCCAGGAGGCAUUGUUCUUAUUUAAGGAUAAGGGAACUGAUGCACAGAAGGAUUAAUUGCAGAGCAAGCCGGGAUGGAAGUAAGAUUUGAACCCAGGCAGUCUUGUCCUAGGGGCCCAAGCUCUGAACUGCACUUCCACCAGUGUUUGCAGAGGCCUGGGGAAGAAGCUCAGGCCUGAACUAGAGCAGGGCAGAGCGAAUGGGGGAACAAAACUGCCCGGAUGUGGAGACAAGCAAGAAGAAGGAGGCAUCCCAGCUGAGCCAGGCUUCCCUGAUGUGAGCGGAACUGCGUUGGGGGCCGUGGGCACAAUGGGAGCCAGCCUUGUUUCCCAGGAAAGGACCCCUGACCAGGGGCAUUGGAUUUCUCGCUUGGAUGACUGGGCCUAUUCGCAGUGCUGCGGGAAAUGCCAGAGGAAGAGCAGGGCUGGCGAGCUGAGGGUGGGACGUUCAACUUGGACACGUGGAGCUGGAAAUGCCUGGGGGAUACAUGUGUGCGGAUGUCUAGGAGGAGGGUGGAUAACAGAGUCUGGGCUCAGGAGCUAAGAGCAGAGUUGGGAGUCAUUAGCCAUGGAGGCUGAAACCUCGGAGAAUCAGGAUUCAUACACUAAGGCAGGAGAUUAUUCCCUCCGUUAACAGCAGUUGAAGAGUUCCUCUUCUCAGAACGGGGCUGUGGACAGAGCACUUUUCAUCUUCGAAGCUCUAGGUGGAGGGGAGUGGGAGCCAUGCUCCUGGGUUCAGUGGGCCUAGGAGAACAAGGAAACAGGGCUAUUUUUUAAAUGAGUGCCCAUGUCAUUAUAUGAUGUCUCUUGUCACACACACUCACUCCAAAGGAUCAUAGAGGAUGUAUUUUUAAAACUCCGGUGUGUGUAUUAAUUUACACAGAAUUAUCUGAUUAACUUCGAAGGCUGUUGACUUGAGCAUGAAGAUUCCCAAGUAAAAGCAGAAAGAAAAUGCUCAGUGUAAUUGAGAACACAAGGAGAAUUUCCUUCCAGUGAAGUUUCAAAAAGACAAAGGAAGAAGGAGCCUCUGAUUACAUAAUUCCUACCUGGGAAAGUAAAAAUCUUUGAUUAUCUAUUUAUGGCCUGCCAUACUCAGGGCCCAGAGGAAAUCAGACAAGCCUGAAAGAAACUAAUUUCCACCACUUCUCCUUUUCCUCUCUCUUGGUUUGUGGCCUCAUAACCUUGAGGAGCUGGCCUGUGUGUGCUUCUGCAUGGCAUGAGGUCCACUUCCACAGAUCUGCUGAGGAGCAGGCCCUGCUGGCCAGGGAGAGACGGAGGUAAAGGCAAAGAGGUGGUGAAGCCAUCACCUAAAGGGAACAGGACUGAGUCAACCUUGCCAGCCGAGGGGAUUCUUACAGACCUAAUGUUUUCCUAAGAGUUCUUGGGGCAAAUAAGGAGAAAAAGAUGAGGCUGUCUGAAGUUUUAGAGGAAGUAAGGGGUAAUCAAGGUUAGGGGCAUGCCCAGUCUUUGGAAUUUUUGCCUUGGUUUUCCUUGGGCCCGCUCCUGGCCUAUAAGGUGUCUGUGUGCAACUUAUAAAAGGUGACCCCACUACCCCUGGCCCCUGAUGCUGGGCAAGCCUGAGGCUGGGACUGUUGGCGGGGUGAGGGAGAGUAGGCCCCCACUGGCCCUCUUGGGUGAGCCUAGGGCAGAGCACAGCUGCACAUCUGGCCCCCCCAGGUCCUGUGUGUCCUACUCAUUAAUUUAUAGAAGAGCAGCAUCUGGAAAGCGGGUGCCGUAGAAAACCCGAUGAUGUGGCAGGGUUCACCUAAACUUAAUGCAUGUCCGUCUCAUACACCGAUUUGUCCUUUUCCUUGGACAAACACUGUCUCAGUAGGCCUGGGGACGUCUGUCUUUUCAUGAACUCUCCUCUCCCCUGGAUUUAAUUCUAUAAGGGAUCCUCUAGGAGGCACUUUGAAAAACUGCAGCCACGCUUUGAGCUGCUAGGCUUCCACUGAAAAAAUGAUUACUUCGAUGUUCUAAAUGGAACUGGAGAUCAAAUCAAUAAGAUCUAGGAAAUCCAUUAAAAAAAAAUGCAACAUGGUCCCUUAUCUAAUAUAAGAAUGAGAUUUUCAUGAGAUGUCUUUGAAAGAGAAAAAUGCAUGUGCAUAAAUACACAACAUCUGUAUAAACUAAAACAAUUAUCUUUCCUGAUUUGAAGGAAGCAUAUAAUGUAGGUGGAGGAGAGAUUUGUAUGUUUACCUCUGAACCUGAUUUGAUUUUAAUAUCAUUCUGUCAUUUGUGAACAGUUCCCAAGCGCCUUGUCAGGAAGAGUCGCUUAUUAAGCCACUGAAAGUAUCUUAUAAAAAUAGCAGACAAUCUAAACUGUGACUCAUUCCACGAAACCCCAGUGGCCCCAGCACGACUAGCUUCUGCACCGACUUAGUUGUGCAAACAUGUGCCAGCAUCCUUUCCAUGGCAGAUUCAGUGCUGACCUCAGAGUGAAGGAAGAUUCAUAAGACAUAGCCUGAUCUGAAAGGAGUUCACAACCCAGCAGGGAGGGAGCAAAAUACUAUACAAGAUAAGGUUAAACCAUUUGAGAUCAGUUAGAAGGGAUUGCUCUGAAGUCGUAUUGAUGGAGUACAGGUCUGUGUAGAGUGUGUUAGGAACAGAGAAGAGGGGAAACUGACCCAACCUAGGGGUGCUGGGGGAUUGUCAAGACAGAGACAUUUGAACAGUGUCUUGAAGGAUACGUAAGAGUUUGAAAGUGGCAAGGGGAGUCUUUUCAGCAGAAGAGCAGCACACGCAAAGGUAUGGAGCUAUGACUUUGCACAGCUAAUAAAGGAACAGCAAAGAGCUCUCCAUCGCUAGACAGCAAGGUGUAUGUGAAACUGACAAAGGAUGAAACUGGGGAAAAAAGCAGGCCAGACUCAGUGUGAAGGUGAGCCCUGAAGGUUUUCAGGCUGAGAAAGGCAUGAGCAGAUUGGUGUUUUAGAGGGAUUCAUCUGAUGGCCUCUGAUUUGCAGAAUAGACCUCUCAAUGAGAUCCACCUUAAGUGUGAUCCAUGGUGUGGUGGUGUUUUUCUCACUGAUUCAGAAAAUUAAUCCAUUUCCUAGAGUUCUUGGCUUAGACUCAGGAAGUGUUUAUACCCUAGAACAGAGGUCUGCAAACUAUGGCUCAUGGGCCAUAUCUGGCCCACCAGCUGUUUUUGUAAAUAAGGUUUUAUUGGCACAUAGCCACAUCAUUCCAUCCAGUAUCGUCUGUGGCUGCUUUCGCAUUCUGGCUGAUUUCGAAGCUGAGUUGAGUAGUUGCAACAAAGACUGUAUGACUACAAGGCCUGAAAUACUUACGAUUUGGUCCUUUACAGAAAAAGUUUGCUGACCCUUGCCCUUUGGUUCUUUGAAGUCUUUGCCAUCUUUCUCAUCAGAUGGGAAACUUCAGAGACAACCUUGAAGUUUAGCCUCAUUACCUUUUGUACUGCUUGCUUCCGCCUUUAUCAAGUGGCCCAAUUCAGUUGCUCUCUUCAAGCCGGUAGUGAGAAACACAGGGGAGAACCACGUACGAAAGAGGCCAUAAGACAGCGAGCACAAGGAGCCAGGCAAGUCUGGUCAAACCACUUCAUUUCUUCUCUACUGGAGUCCCUGCAUAUGAGAUCAACAGCCUGCCACCGACACCAAGCAUAUUGAGGGCAGCAGAGUUCGGAAACCCCUCACCAGGUCCGCUUGGGCAGGGAGGAACUGAUUAGGUGGUUCUGGUAAUAGACCAACACUGGCCCCCUAAAUGUACAGAUUAAUGGGCUGACAUCAAUCUUAGGGAGAUCUUUAACAUGUUCCUGUAAGAUUCCGGACUUACUCCUGUCCUCUUCAGCAUUUCUAUUGGAACACAUAAAUCAGAAGCCGUGUUAUCAAUGUGGAGUUUCCCCCUAUCUGGGGGAAGUGGGACAGCUAAUAACUGGCAUUGCUUUGUCAGCAUCAGUGUUUCAAAAAAUUCUUGAUGAGGUAGAGCAGUGUCCAAACUCUGCUCUCUUCCAGAGGGACAGUUUCUCCUAAGUGAGGAAUGUGAGUCUUAGAAGGUCCACCCCUAACAUCCAUGGGCCCUGGGGCAAGAGUAUAAACGGAGGCCAGCACACCAUAUGUCCAAAUACUUAGAAGUUAUAAAUCAAGCUAACAAACUGCUAGACAAGACGUAUUCUCUCCUCCUACCUUGACAAAUAUACCUUCUUCACCACCUAGAAGCCCAGAUUCAAAUUCAGAAUUCUCUGACUACUCGGAAUCUUAAAGCUGGAACAUGGCGGCUUGGAGAGAGCCAGUCCUCACCUGGCGCUCCCAGCUCUUGACCCACCUUUUUACUUUCUGACCUGCUCUUGGGCUCCUCAGUCACUUCUCUCCAGUUGCUUUCUCUUUACUGCUUCACCAGUGAGAGCUAUCAUUUGGUGCCAUUCAUCCGGUUCUGCCCUCUGGCUUCUAUGCUUAAACCCAAUUCCUACUUCCACCACUGAUUCAUUGGUUUCCAGUCUCUUCAGGUAACCCCCGGUUUAGUGCUUACAUUUGGUAUAUCCCCAGGCAAUCGUGUCCCUGAUGGAUUCUCCCCAUGGCUAGGAAACAGAACCUGGCCAACUCUCACCCACCUUCCAGCUCCUGUUCCCUCUCCCCAACUCCCACCGGUGCCAAUGUCUCCUGACCUUAAUUACAAAGAAUGAACACAUACUUCAGCAAAUUUGGGGCAGCCAGGGGUGGUAGGUAGUCCCACCCAGAAGCAAUAUAUUUCUUUGAAUGCUAGUGUUUUUAUCUUCAAAGGGUCACAUGCUUUAAGAAAAGUUUUAAUCACUGAGAUAUGAUUUAUGUAUAACAUACAUUCAAAAAAGUACACAAAACAUAAAUAUACAGCUUAACGAAUUAUCACAAGGCAUAUGACCACCAGGUAAACAAAUGCCCAGAAGCCCCCCACCCUCUGUGCCUCACUGUCUUCUCCCCAAGGGAAACCAACCACUAUUCUGACUGCUGAUGCUAUUGUUCAGUUUUGCCUGGUUUUGGAGUUUUUGUAAACGGAAUCAAACACUGCUAAUUCCUUUGCAUCCAGCUUCUUUCACGCAACAUAUCUGUGAGAUUUAUCUAUGAUGUUUUGUGUAGUUCUAGUCCACUCGUUUUCAUUGCUGUGUGUCCAUCAUAUGAGUACACCACAAUUUAUUUAUACAUUUCAUAGUCGAUGGGCACUUAGGCUGUCUCCAGUUGUUGAUUAUUAUGUCUAAUACUAAACAUUCUUGUAAAUAUCUAUUGGUGUACCUGAGCACGAAUUUGGGACUGUAUCUAUCUCAAAGUCUGUUGCUGUAUCGUGGGUUUUGCAUAUUUCAACUUAGUCGAUACCUCCAAAGAGUUUUCCAGAGUGGUUGAACCAAUCUGUACUCCCACCUUCAGUGUCUGUGGUUUCUUGUGGCUCCACAUUUUCAUAGGGUUUUUCUUUUAUUCUUCUCCAUGAUAUAUCCAUGUUUGUUUCCAUGUUGAAAAAUGUUACACAUUUUUUUCCAAAAAGGGGAAAUGAUGCUUCUGAAAGGCCUACAAAGUUUAUCGUGAGGCUUCACUUGUCCCAUGUUGGAGGAGCUCAGCUGUAUAUUAACCAAGCUGACCUCUAGAAGGUUCUUUGCUCCAUCAUGACCUUUUGGCCUUUUACCAAACAGUUUCAUAUUCAGGGAACAGCUUCUCUCCUCUGUCUGGCAUAGAACCUGCAUUAUAUUGACUGAAUAUGAAGAGAUCCACCACUGACCUUUGAUCCGUUUUGCCAAGACAGCAUUUAUCUGAAUAAUCUUAUUUUGACUACAGGUUCAUCUAUUUGUUGCUUAGAUCAACCUCUGUGUCAUUUCGAGGAAACAGACCAUGUACUUCUUUAAUAUACAACUCCAUCACCUGCAAGAAGUCUUGGGACCCCAUGGGGAGUAAUCAGUAUUUGCUAACCGACUGACUGCUCAGUGUAGCCUAAAAUCCAUCUUUAUUUUUAUAUGAUAGUUUAAGUGAUUUAAUGAGUGGCUGUCACUGACAAGGCACUUGGGGACUGUGCAUAAAAUGACACAAUAAUAUAAAAAUAAAGCUUUGCUCAGAGACUAAUACACAGAACUGCCUUCCGUGUACACAUUACUCUUUCUCCUAGAGGAAACAAUUCUUCCUUUGGUCAAGUGCCGUUGUUUUAUUGACAGAAAUAAGUAAAUCCACAUUUCCUUCUGCUGCCUUAUUUGAAUGCUUACGAAAUCAGGACUCAUAUAUAAUGUUCAUUUCAGCAAUGAAUAUGCAGAAAGUGCUGCAUCUCUUUAUUUAGGGAUUUUAAACAUUGCAGUCAUGUUCAUCGUGGUGACUGUAGGCUUUUAUAUCUAAGUCAGACUCAUUUCUCAAAGUCAUAUUUAAAUAUCUCAAACAGUAGUGUUGGCCUCUUGGGUAUUACACAACAUACAACCAAAGAAGGAAGGUUAACCUCGCCAAAAAAAGUAUAAAGAAAUGGUGCAGCUGUGGAUAUUUCAUGUUUAGGAAGCAGUGGGAUCAGGCAAAAGAAGAACAGAGAAUUCUAGGGGAGCCAAGCUCGCAAUGAGAAUCUGGAUGUGGGCUUCAUCUUAGAGGAGAGCGUGGGAGUUCUUCUCUAACUUAAUGAUGCUCUGAGUGAGGUAGACAAUUUUUUCUCAGUUGCAUGUUUUGUAGGCAAGGUUUCUCUUCUCCUCCUUUCAAUAAUUUAAAUGCCAAAUACUGACAAUCCAGAUGGUGACCUGGACCUAAGCGCACACGUGGUUUCACAGCCAUGGCUUUGCUCCUGAGUUUAGGUUUUAGGAUAGUUUCAUUCAUUCAUUGAUUUAUUCAUUUGUCCUUUUAUUCAUUUGUUUAGUUAAGUGGUCAGGCAACAAAUACCUACCCAGCACCUACCACAUUGCAAGUGUUGUGUUUGGUGCUCAGAGUACAAUGACGCGUCCUACUCAGACAUUUUUCAAAUAAUCACACAAAUAAUAGUAAAAUUGCAUCUGUGUGAGUGCUCUAAAGGAAGAAAGUGGUACGAUGAAAAUGUGUAUUAGAAGAUCAGGGAGGCCUGGGAUAUGUCCUUGAGGAAGUCAUGACUGGGCUGAUAUCUGUUAAAUGAGCAGGUGAAUCAACUAGGUGAAAUGGGGGGAGGGGAGGAAAUGAGAGGCUUGUGCAAAGGGCCUGUGGUAGGAGAGAGUAUGACUUACAUGUGGAUGAGCAUGAAGGUCAGUGCAGGAGGAGUGGAGAGAGCAAAGGGUGUGCGCAGGACCUUCUUCACGCUAAAGGAGCUUUGUCCUUAUCUUAAGAGCAAAAUUGACACAUGGGGAAGAACAGGUGGACAGGAAGGGAUCCAAUGUCACAGUGUGGGUUGUGGGACUCAGAGGCACACCAGGAAGAAGGUUUUAGAACUUGCCUUUACACAGUCCCUAGUCAGCAGCUUGACUCAAUUACAGGUAUCCCCCAACAGCUGUUAGCUGUCGGGCAGGCUGGUUUCCCAGGUCUGAGUGGAUAAUAGAGAGGAUGCUCAGGGGUGGCAGAGGGACACGCUCCAGUGGUCCGGAUCUGCUCUCUCCUCUGUGCACAAUGAGCCAUUUGGGCAGGAAGCCACGCUUGCUGCUUGCAGAUCUGAAUGUGUUUAGCUGUAACGGUCUGACAGGGAAGACUGGUUGCAACUUUAAUAGAACCCAAGGCACCCACCCAACUGGCAUAAUCUCUCCCCUGAAAGGUAACGUGUGGCCUUUGUGUGCUGGGGCUUCAGUUUACAACCGAGAUUAAAUAUAGACAAAUUCAAAAUAUAAAUGUUCUUGAUUCAAUUUAUAAUGCUAAUAAUAAAACACAUCGUAAUAGCAUUUUCAAACUGCAGGUAUUCAACAUUUGGAGAGUCAAAAGAUCUGAAAAAAUAUUUUUGGGUCAAGCUAUUGUAAUGCAUAACAUACCAAGACAGCAAUAAAUCUUGGUGGGGCAGAAUUCUGGGCGGGGAGGAAGGAAGGGGAAAAGGAACAGUUUCCUGAGUGUCGACUGUGAUUGUCACAGUGCGGGGUUUCUCAGCACUACUGACAUUUUGGGCCGGAUCAUUCUUUGUUUGGCAGGCUGUCCUGUGCAUUGUAUGAUGUUUCACAGCGUCCCUGGCCUCUGCCCAGUGGAUGCCGAUAGCACACCACCCCCACUCCCAUUUGUGACAACCCAAAACGUCUCUAGACAUUACCAAAUGUCCCCUGGGGGGGCAAAAUCCACCCCGCCACUUUUGAACUGUUCUAAUAGAGGAUCCAUAACUAAUAAACCUGGUGUGCAGAGUUUGAUGAAAUAAAAACAAAAACUGCCAAUAAUUUGAAGAUUAAUCUUACAUAAAUUUUUAAAAAAUUUUUCUAUAGAAUGUGAUUAGAGGUUUUUCCAACCAAGAUCACUUUUCCAUCUCAAACCAUUUGGACACAAAGCAUGUGUAUGAAAAUCACCAUACUCUAGCUUCCCUCAAAACUCUCAGUAAAAGGCAGAUCCUUUUCUAUUCAUUGAGGGACAUUGAGUUUAUGGUCUGCAAGUCAACUUUGAAUUUAAAGUCUGAAAUGCAAAACUGGCUUUCCCAUUUCUUCCUCUGCAGAGAAGCAAACAAGGAACCGAUUCUUUGCUUUCUGUGCUCUUGAGACUUUAAAUAUUUCUCCCCAUCUCAGUUUUGGUGGGAGAUGGGAGGGUAUUACAAGCUAUAAUGCAAUCAUUUGGAUGCUUAACUGCAGACGAGAAGAAUUGGGAAUGCUUUGUAAAAUUUCCCAAAAGAGCGAAAUGCUCUGUCAGGGGUCCAAUGCCCCCAUCCUCUGCUUGGACAAACAUCUCUGUCCAGCUGGGGCUGCCACAACGGACCAGACGGAGGAUGUUUUGGCUUCGGCUUCUUUACCAUGCUGUACGGCUGCUGGAACAGACUGCCCCAAACUGAGUGGCUUGAAACAACAGAAAUUUAUUGUCUCACAGUUCUGGAAAAUGGAAGUCUAAAAUCAAGGCCCUGGCAAAGCCAUGCUCCCUCUGAAGCCUCGGGACAAGGACCAUGCUGCCUUCUUUGCCUCUUCCAGUUUCUGGUAGCCCCAGGCAGUCCGUGGCUCAGGGCAGCAAGACUCCAAGCUCUGCCUCCCUCUUCACAUGGCUGUCUUCCCUCUGUGUCUUUACGCUGUCAUCCCUAUGGGCAUGUCUAUGUCAAAACUUCCAUCUUCUUGUAAGGACAGCGGUCAUAGUGGAUUAGGGCCCAUCCUAUGAUCUCAUCUUCACGUGAUUACAUCUGCCGAGACCCCAUUUCCAAAUAAGGGCAGCGCCACAGGGGUUAGACACAGGAGUGAGGACUCCAACAUGUCCUUUCAGAGGACACCAUCCAACCCGUAACAACGUCUUCCACAGGACUGUUAAGACAGUGAACUGAAACACAGAUAUGAAAUGUCUUGAUGAUUGGAAAGUCUUGAUGCAAAUGUAGCAUAAAGAACUCAGCUGGGGUUUGAGUCCGGCCCUUUCUCCCAACCUUUAGGCUAGAGUUUCAGCAUAAGGACUCUGAAGCCCAAUUUAGGGGUGUGAAGACAAAUGAGGGGGAAGAGUAUAGAAAAUUAGGUCAAGGGCACAAAAGACAAUGUUCACUACCUUACGGGUUACCUGGGCCUAGUUCAGGUCCCGAGUGAGUGAAGUGACCUCAAAGACUCCAUGCGCUAACCCAGACUUCCCAGAAUGGGACCAGCAGGCAAGCGACACCCGUUCACCAAGGCCACGGUGGAGAGAAUGGAAAUCACUGCUUCACACUCGUAUUCUUUUACUACCGUAG